UACGGAGGGGGCUAGCGUUGUCCGAAGUUACUGGGCGUAAAGCGCGCGCAGGCGGCUAUCCAAGUCAGUGGUGAAAGCCCGGAGCUUAACUCCGGAACUGCCAUUGAAACUGUUUAGCUUGAGGACGAGAGAGGUGAGUGGAAUUCCCAGUGUAGAGGUGAAAUUCGUAGAUAUUGGGAAGAACACCGGUGGCGAAGGCGGCUCACUGGCUCGUUUCUGACGCUCAGGCGCGACAGCGUGGGGAUCAAACAGG
rnacentral:rRNA from 1 species